GGCCAGCCUGGGAAAUUUAGGGAAAACAUCUCAAAAUAAAAAAUAAAAAGCACUGAGGAUGUGGCUCAGUGAUAGCGCACCCCUGGGUUCAGUCUUCUGUACUGGGGAGGGGAAUGCAAAAGAAAAGCAAAAGCAGAAGUAUUAGGCUGGUCACAGUGGCACAUGCCUGUAAUCCCAGUGGCUUGGGAGGCUGAGGUGGGAGGAUCACGAAUUCAAAGCCAGCCUCAGCAACUUAAUGGGCGCUUAGCAACUCUCAGACACUGUCUCUAAAUUAAAAAGGGCUGGGGAUGUGGCUCAGUGGUUAAGUGCCCCUGGGUUCAAUCCCCAGUACCAAAAAAAAAAAAAAAGUCACUUUAGGAAACACAAUUUUCACAGUUUCCCCUCUGUUGUUGGCUUUUAGGAUUUUAGAAAUGGGCUGUUUGAAAAGCAAGCAUUCCUGGGAGGAGGGAGUCCAUUAGUGGGUUGGUGAAUCUGUUGUCCUGUUCCUGUUUAUCUAGAAGCAGUGCUUUCCUUCCACUUCUUGUUUGGGUCCCUGCUCUGCGCUCUUCAGGUCUGUGCCCAGGAUGGGUGGCUGUGUCCCAUGGGGACGCUGUAGGCUGUCUGGGAACCACCAACUUGCUUGUGUGUUUUUACAUCAUCUGCGUCUUAGAAAACUCUCCCAGCCAACUGGCCCCAGGAGAUGCCCUGCCUGUGUUUUCCCAGCAGGCUCUUUGAGGGAAACGCACCUUCUCGGAGAACACGCCUGCUCCAGACACACCAGCGGGCAGGCGUCCACCUGGCCAGCAGUGGUCCCCCACACAGGGCCACUUCACAAAGGCCAGAGGUGGGAGGACACGGGCAAGUUCCCCAGCCCUGGCUCACACCAUCCUAGGCAC
rnacentral:lncRNA from 1 species